UAGGCUUAGCUGCGGAAAGCAAGCCGAAAGGGAGGUCUCCAAACUAGAGAGCUGACUGCCGUUCUAGCCUUGACUCCCCCAGUCCAGCGGCCCCUCAAGCUUGGGCCACACCCUAGAGCCUGGUUUUCAAACCACAGCCUCCCCGUCCCCUUCCAGUUUCAGGAAAUCAGUUUAGUUGAUUCUUGCCAGCAUGAAAAACAAAGCAAAGCAAAGCAAAUGAACAAGCCAAAACAAAUCACUAAAGAGAAACAGAACGGGGAAGGACCAGGCUCUCCUGCAUGGUAAAGAUUGGAGGCUCCUGGGCUGGAGAGGGACAGAAGAGAUCCUCGCAUGGAGCUGUGUGGAGUACGUGCUUGAGAAAUAACUAUUUGAACCUGACAAACAUUUAAUCUGUCCACGUGGCCCCUGCCUUCUUCCCCGAUCUAAGGGUCUUGGUGCUCCGGCCAGGUGUCAGGCCUGAGACUCUGAGGUGGGAGAGCCAAGUUCAGGACAUUGGACCACCAGAGACCUCCCAGCCCCAUGUAAUAUCAAUUGGCGAGAGCUCUCCCAGAGAUCUCCGUCUCAAUGCUAAGACCCAGCUCCACUCAAUGACCAGCAAGCUCCAGUGCUGGACACUCCAUGCCAAACAACUAGCAAGACAAAAACACAACCCCACCCAUUAGCAGAGAGGCUGCCUAAAAUCAUAAUAAGUUCACAGACACUCCAAAACACACCACCGGACACAGUCCUGCCCACCAGAAAGACGAGAUCAAGCCUCAUCCACCAGAACACAGGAACGAGUCCCCUCCACCAGGAAGCCUACACAACCCACUGAACCAACCUCACCCACUGGGGGCAGACACCAAAAACAACGGGAAGUACGAUCCUGCAGCCUGUGAAAAGGAGACCCCAAACACAGUAAGAUAAGCAAAAUGAGAAGACAGAGAAACACACAGCAGAUGAAGGAAC